rnacentral:rRNA from 1 species
GACGAACGCUGGCGGCGUGCCUAAUACAUGCAAGUAGAACGCUGAAGAGAGGAGCUUACUCUUCUUGGAUGAGUUGCGAACGGGUGAGUAACGCGUAGGUAACCUGCCUUGUAGCGGGGGAUAACUAUUGGAAACGAUAGCUAAUACCGCAUAACAAUGGAUGAAACAUGUCAUUUAUUUGAAAGGGGCAAUUGCUCCACUACAAGAUGGACCUGCGUUGUAUUAGCUAGUAGGUGAGGUAAUGGCUCACCUAGGCGACGAUACAUAGCCGACCUGAGAGGGUGAUCGGCCACACUGGGACUGAGACACGGCCCAGACUCCUACGGGAGGCAGCAGUAGGGAAUCUUCGGCAAUGGGGGCAACCCUGACCGAGCAACGCCGCGUGAGUGAAGAAGGUUUUCGGAUCGUAAAGCUCUGUUGUAAGUCAAGAACGGGUGUGAGAGUGGAAAGUUCACACUGUGACGGUAGCUUACCAGAAAGAGACGGCUAACUACGUG